AACGAACGCUGGCGGCAGGCCUAACACAUGCAAGUCGAGCGCGCCCUUCGGGGUGAGCGGCGGACGGGUGAGUAACGCGUGGGAACGUGCCCUUUUCUACGGAAUAGCCUCGGGAAACUGAGAGUAAUACCGUAUACGCCCUUUGGGGGAAAGAUUUAUCGGAAAAGGAUCGGCCCGCGUUGGAUUAGGUAGUUGGGGGGGUAAUGGCCUACCAAGCCGACGAUCCAUAGCUGGUUUGAGAGGAUGAUCAGCCACACUGGGACUGAGACACGGCCCAGACUCCUACGGGAGGCAGCAGUGGGGAAUCUUAGACAAUGGGGGCAACCCUGAUCUAGCCAUGCCGCGUGAGUGAUGAAGGCCUUAGGGUUGUAAAGCUCUUUCAGCUGGGAAGAUAAUGACGGUACCAGCAGAAGAAGCCCCGGCUAACUCCGUG
rnacentral:rRNA from 1 species